rnacentral:rRNA from 1 species
GAGUUUGAUCCUGGCUCAGGACGAACGCUGGCGGUGUGCUUCACACAUGCAAGUCGAACGGGGUAGCAAUACCCAGUGGCGGACGGGUGAGUAACACGUGGGAAUCUACCAUAAGGUGGGGAAUAACAGGCCGAAAGGUCUGCUAAUGCCGUAUAUGUAGGCAUCUCGACAGAGGUGUUUAUGAAAGGAGUAAUCCGCCUUUUGAUGAGCCCGCGUCCGAUUAGCUAGUUGGUAGGGUAAAAGCCUACCAAGGCGACGAUCGGUAGGUGGUCUGAGAGGAUGAUCACCCACAAUGGGACUGAGACACGGCCCAUACUCCUACGGGAGGCAGCAGUGGGGAAUUUUACGCAAUGGGGGAAACCCUGACGUAGCGACACCGCGUGAGCGAAGAAGCCCUUUGGGGUGUAAAGCUCUGUCAACAGGAACGAAAUCAAUGACGGUACCUGUGGAGGAAGCAUCGGCUAACUACGUGCCAGCCGCCGCGGUAAU